GACGAACGCUGGCGGCGUGCCUAAUACAUGCAAGUUGAGCGCUGAAGGUUGGUACUUGUACCGACUGGAUGAGCAGCGAACGGGUGAGUAACGCGUGGGGAAUCUGCCUUUGAGCGGGGGCAACAUUUUGAAACGAAUGCUAAUACCGCAUUAAAACUUUAAACACAAGUUUUAAGUUUGAAAGAUGCAAUUGCAUCACUCAAAGAUUAUCCCGCGUUGUAUUAGCUAGUUGGUGAGGUAAAGGCUCACCAAGGCGAUGAUACAUAGCCGACCUGAGAGGGUGAUCGGCCACAUUGGGACUGAGACACGGCCCAAACUCCUACGGGAGGCAGCAGUAGGGAAUCUUCGGCAAUGGACGAAAGUCUGACCGAGCAACGCCGCGUGAGUGAAGAAGGUUUUCGGAUCGUAAAACUCUGUUGGUAGAGAAGAACGUUGGUGAGAGUGGAAAGCUCAUCAAGUGACGGUAACUACCCAGAAAGGGACGGCUAACUACGUG
rnacentral:rRNA from 1 species